GACGAAGGAUGCAAGCGUUAUCCGGAUUCAUUGGGUUUAAAGGGAGCGUAGGUGGCCUUAUAAGUCAGUGGUGAAAUCUCUGGGCUUAACCCAGAAAUUGCCAUUGAUACUGUAGGGCUUGAGUAUAGUUGCCGUUGGCGGAAUAUGACAUGUAGUGGUGAAAUACAUAGAGAUGUCAUAGAACACCGAUUGCGAAGGCAGCUAACGAAACUAUAACUGACACUGAGGCUCGAAAGUGCGGGGAGUCAAACAGG
rnacentral:rRNA from 1 species